rnacentral:rRNA from 1 species
CAGCCGCCGCGGUAAUACGGAGGGAGCUAGCGUUGUUCGGAAUUACUGGGCGUAAAGCGCACGUAGGCGGCUUUGUAAGUCAGAGGUGAAAGCCUGGAGCUCAACUCCAGAACUGCCUUUGAGACUGCAUCGCUCGAAUCCGGGAGAGGUGAGUGGAAUUCCGAGUGUAGAGGUGAAAUUCGUAGAUAUUCGGAAGAACACCAGUGGCGAAGGCGGCUCACUGGACCGGUAUUGACGCUGAGGUGCGAAAGCGUGGGGAGCAAACAGGAUUAGAUACCCCAGUAGUCCCUGUCUCUUAUAA